rnacentral:rRNA from 1 species
AACGAACGCUGGCGGCAUGCCUAACACAUGCAAGUCGAACGAGACCUUCGGGUCUAGUGGCGCACGGGUGCGUAACGCGUGGGAACCUGCCCUUAGGUUCGGAAUAACUCCCCGAAAGGGGUGCUAAUACCGGAUAAUGUCUUCGGACCAAAGAUUUAUCGCCUUUGGAUGGGCCCGCGUUGGAUUAGCUAGUUGGUAGGGUAAAAGCCUACCAAGGCGACGAUCCAUAGCUGGUCUGAGAGGAUGAUCAGCCACACUGGGACUGAGACACGGCCCAGACUCCUACGGUAGGCAGCAGUAGGGAAUCUUACGCAAUGGGGGAGAGCGUGAUGGAGCAAAGCCGCGUGAGGGAUGAAGGAGCUAGGAUCGUAAAGCUAUGAUAUUAGUGAAGAACAAAAGUGUUAGUACCUGUGCAGAUCUUGACGGUACCGAGACAGAAAGCCACGGCUAACUACGUG